rnacentral:rRNA from 1 species
UGGGGAAUAUUGGACAAUGGGGGCAACCCUGAUCCAGCGAUGCCGCGUGGGUGAAGAAGGCCUUCGGGUUGUAAAGCCCUUUAGGUUGGGACGAAGGUUAUUAUCGGAUAAUGGUAGUAACUUGACGGUACCGACAGAAUAAGCACCGGCAAACUCUGUGCCAGCAGCCGCGGUAAUACAGAGGGUGCGAGCGUUAAUCGGAUUUACUGGGCGUAAAGGGCGCGUAGGCGGUGAGAUGUGUGUGAUGUGAAAGCCCCGGGCUUAACCUGGGAAGUGCAUUGCAAACUGUCUGACUGGAGUAUAUGAGAGGGUGGCGGAAUUUCCGGUGUAGCGGUGAAAUGCGUAGAUAUCGGAAGGAACGUCAAUGGCGAAGGCAGCCACCUGGCAUAAUACUGACGCUGAGGCGCGAAAGCGUGGGGAUCGAACAGG